rnacentral:rRNA from 1 species
AUGCUGAAGGUUGCGGGGAGGAGGCUCUCGUCUUCCCUCUCCUGGCGCCCUGCGGCAACCGGCGGAGCCAGGGGCCCGCUCGCCGGCGCCGGCAGACCUAGGAGAGACGACGGCGAUGGUUCGACCUACCAGCGGCGGUUCGCCAUCGAGUCCCCCUUCUUCACCGCCGCGAGAGGCUUUUAUUCGGCUGAAACACUUUUUCCACGAAACCAAGAUGCUAGGUUGGUUGAACUCCCAGCCACUGUUGCUGCACUGAAGAACCCCAACUCAAAUAUCCUUUAUGACCGGUACAACCAUGAAAGAUAUCCUCUUGGAGAUCCCAGCAAGCAUGCCUUUGCCUACUUUGUUCUGAGUGGUGGGAGAUUCGUAUAUGCGUCACUGCUGGGUCUCCUUGUCUUGAAGUUUGUCAGAAUGUCAGCAAGUAAGGAUGUGCUUGCACUUGCUUCCCUUGAGGUUGAUCUAUCCAGCAUUGAACCCGGCAGCACAGUGACUGUCAAGUGGCAUGGAAAGCCAGCCUUCAUCAGGCGACGGAGAGACGAUGACAUCAAGCUGGCCAACAUCGUGGAUGUUGCAUCCCUGCGCCACCCAGAGCAAGACGCUGAGCGUGUGAAGAACCCAGAGUGGCUGGUGGUUAUUGGUGUCUGCACUCAUCUUGGUUGCAUUCCCCUUCCCAACUCUGGAGACUUUGGUGGCUGGUUCAACCUGUGCCAUGGCUCCCACUAUGACAUCUCUGGCAGAAUCCUCAAGGGCCCUGCCUCGUACAACCUUGAGGUGCCCACCUACAGUUUCUUGGAAGAUAACAAGAUGGUCAUAGGCUAA